CGUUGCUCUUCAAGUGUCCUGGAUUUCAAGAACUGGGACUUUUGUGACUGUCACUUAUGUAAACUGGGAAAUUAGUCUAUGGUCUGGUCCAGUGGUGGGUUGCCCCCGGUUCGGACCGGUUCUAUAGAACUGGUAGUAAAACCGCCGGGAGGCUCCGCCCACUGACCUGAAUGUUAUCAAAAGUGAUCUGCACAUGCGCAGAGGAGUGUGCGCGUGUGGGCACAACACAAGCCGAUAUUAAAGGUGCUUCACUUUCACACUGAAGGAAGGAACUUCCAGGCCGAUGCUUUAUCAAGGAAGCCAAAUACAAUGGCACCUGGGAAGACAUGGUGCACACUAUGGUGCCAGGACCCUUGAAAGUGGCAGAGGUGGACGAAAGGGACCAGAGUAUGAGGCCAAAGCGGAAGGAUAGGGACGAUAUUCCCCGUUCCCUACAAACAGCCCUGCUCGCCGACCCUUGGUUCCAGGCAAACCAGCACCUGCUUAUGUGGCGCGACAGCCUCACGUGGAAAGGGUCAAAAAUAUAUGUGCCGGACUCCCAGCACCUGACCGUGUUGCAAAAAUGCUAUGAUGCCCAAACUGUUGGGCAUUUUGGAUUUCUGAAGACCCUCCAUCUAACGAACUGACAGUUUUGGUGGCUGUGGAUGAAGGUGCUCCUCCUGCCACUACAUGUAAAUACAACUGUGUCUUAUUACAUCUAAACUUCCUAAAAACUAGUAUGAGCUUGAGGGCGGUUAUAGCAUUCCCAGAAUUAAUUACAGGUAGUCCUCGACUUAUGACCACCAUUGGGACAGGAAGUUCUGUUGCUAAGCGAUGCACUUGUUAGGUGAGUUCCUGCCUCACUUUAUGAAAUUUUAACUGUGGUCAUUAAUUAAAUCACUAUAGUUGUCAAGUGAAACUUGGAAAAAAUAUUUAAAAAACCCAACUGUUAUUUAAUAUGCUUCUUGAACCCUUUAUAGGAUGGAAAAUCAGGAAUUUCAAACUCUGAAAUGUCAGUCUUCUCAUUCUUUUUCUGUUUCAUUUGUUCAUUCGUUCCCUUCUUUCCAUUUCAAUGAAUGUUCUCAGUUACACAGCUACCUGGCUGCUACACAGCCGUUCCAAACUAUUAAUACAGCCGUUGUAUAUUAGGAAAAUGUUCAGAAAUAAAACUGGCAAGCCAAAUAUUUUUUUACAGAAAAGCGUAACUCCCAGGCCAAAAAUAGUAACAGAAGACAUAUAAAUCUUCCUUGGGAAGAAGGGCAACUGAGAGCUUUUACCACCUGGAGCAUAAGUGUUUUCAGUUUCUGAACACCAUCCAUCCUCUUUUGAUGGAAACCAUCCUCACAGAAUGAAGGUGUCAACAUCAACCGCAGCUGCUGUUCUCAUUGCGAGAGGAAGGGAAUUUUGCUUAUUCCCCAUGGCCUCCUUACGAAUCAUAUCAGGAAACAAGGCCCAGGGAUUCCAUUUCCCCUUCUUCUGUCAUCUGCCACUUGCAAUUCAGGUUUCUUUGAUGGGAUGGUCGUGAGCUUGCAUCCCGGUUAGGCACAUUUGCCAGGACAAGUUUUCUUUACUUUUAUCUCUUCUGCAGUUUGUGCGAGUACAAACACAGUGGACUGUGGAAUAAAACACGGUAACCACAGAAAGCCGCCUUGCAUUUUAGCUGAGCAAUAUACAGCCAACAAAGCUACAAGUAUCCCCAGACUCUGCUCGCAGCAUAAGACAGGCUUCCCCCCCCCCUCCAAGUUUUUUAUUUUAUAUUAUUUAUACGUAUCAAUGUGUGAAUAGUGUGAUACCGGGGUAUCAUACAUUUUGACACAAAUAGACAUAAUAUUUUUACUCAUAGUUAUUACAUUUCGUUUUGUAAUGUAGAUAAUGUAAUGCAGAAAAAACAAUUGCUACCAACCUGCCUUCCCUUGAGGACCUAUAUACUGCACGAGUCAAAAAAAGGGCUGUGAAAAUAUUUACAGAUCCCUCACAUCCGGGACAUAAAUUGUUUCAACUCCUACCCUCAAAACGACGCUAUAGAGCACUGCACACCAGAACAACUAGACACAAGAACAGUUUCUUCCUGAACGCCAUCACUCGGCUAAACAAAUAAUUCCCUCAACACUGUCAAACUAUUCACUAAGGCUGCAUUACUAUUACUAUUAGUCUUCUCACCGUUCCUAUCACCCAUCUCCUUCAACUUAUGACUGUAACUUUGUUGCUUGUAUCCUUACGAUUUAUACUGAUAUUGUUUCCUGAUUGCUUAUUUGUAGCCUAUGACUAUCAUUAAGUGUUGUACCUUGAUGAAGGUUUUUUUUUUUUUAUGUACACUGAGAGCAUAUGCACCAAGACAAAUUCCUUGUGUGUCCAAUCACACUUGGCCAAUAAAGAAUUCUAUUCUAUUCUAUUCUA